UACGUAGGGCGCAAGCGUUGUCCGGAAUUAUUGGGCGAAAGAGCUCGUAGGCGGUUUGUCGCGUCUGCUGUGGAAAACUCGAGGCUCAACCUCGGGCUUGCAGUGGGUACGGGGCAGACUAGAGUGGCGGUAGGGGAGACUGGAAUUCCUGGUGUAGCGGUGGAAUGCGCAGAUAUCAGGAGGAACACCGAUGGCGAAGGCAGGUCUCUGGGCCGCGAACUGACGCUGGAGGAG
rnacentral:rRNA from 1 species